rnacentral:tmRNA from 3 species
GGGGCUGAUUCUGGAUUCGACGGGAUUUGCGAAACCCAAGGUGCAUGCCGAGGGGCGGUUGGCCUCGUAAAAAGCCGCAAAAAAAUAGUCGCAAACGACCAAACCUACGCUUUAGCAGCUUAAUAACCUGCUUAGAGCCCUCUCUCCCUAGCCUCCGCUCUUAGGACGGGGAUCAAGAGAGGUCAAACCCAAAAGAGAUCGCGCGGAUGCCCUGCCUGGGGUUGAAGCGUUAAAACGAAUCAGGCUAGUCUGGUAGUGGCGUGUCCGUCCGCAGGUGCCAGGCGAAUGUAAAGACUGACUAAGCAUGUAGUACCGAGGAUGUAGGAAUUUCGGACGCGGGUUCAACUCCCGCCAGCUCCACCA